rnacentral:tRNA from 1 species
UUAUGGCUCAGUGGUAGAGCACUUGCCUAGCAUGUGAGAGGCACUGGGUUCAAUCCUCAGCACCACAUAAA